rnacentral:rRNA from 1 species
AAACUGAAGAGUUUGAUCAUGGCUCAGAUUGAACGCUGGCGGCAGGCUUAACACAUGCAAGUCGAACGAUGACUAACUAGCUUGCUAGUUAUGAUUAGUGGCGGACGGGUGAGUAACAUUUAGGAAUCUGCCUAGUAGUGGGGGAUAGCUCGGGGAAACUCGAAUUAAUACCGCAUACGACCUACGGGUGAAAGGGGGCGCAAGCUCUUGCUAUUAGAUGAGCCUAAAUCAGAUUAGCUAGUUGGUGGGGUAAAGGCCCACCAAGGCGACGAUCUGUAACUGGUCUGAGAGGAUGAUCAGUCACACCGGAACUGAGACACGGUCCGGACUCCUACGGGAGGCAGCAGUGGGGAAUAUUGGACAAUGGGGGCAACCCUGAUCCAGCCAUGCCGCGUGUGUGAAGAAGGCCUUUUGGUUGUAAAGCACUUUAAGCAGGGAGGAGAGGCUAAUGGUUAAUACCCAUUAGAUUAGACGUUACCUGCAGAAUAAGCACCGGCUAACUCUGUGCCAGCAGCCGCGGUAAUACAGAGGGUGCGAGCGUUAAUCGGAAUUACUGGGCGUAAAGCGAGUGUAGGUGGCUCAUUAAGUCACAUGUGAAAUCCCCGGGCUUAACCUGGGAACUGCAUGUGAUACUGGUGGUGCUAGAAUAUGUGAGAGGGAAGUAGAAUUCCAGGUGUAGCGGUGAAAUGCGUAGAGAUCUGGAGGAAUACCGAUGGCGAAGGCAGCUUCCUGGCAUAAUAUUGACACUGAGAUUCGAAAGCGUGGGUAGCAAACAGGAUUAGAUACCCUGGUAGUCCACGCCGUAAACGAUGUCUACUAGCCGUUGGGGUCCUUGAGACUUUAGUGGCGCAGUUAACGCGAUAAGUAGACCGCCUGGGGAGUACGGCCGCAAGGUUAAAACUCAAAUGAAUUGACGGGGGCCCGCACAAGCGGUGGAGCAUGUGGUUUAAUUCGAUGCAACGCGAAGAACCUUACCUGGUCUUGACAUAGUGAGAAUCCUGCAGAGAUGCGGGAGUGCCUUCGGGAAUUCACAUACAGGUGCUGCAUGGCUGUCGUCAGCUCGUGUCGUGAGAUGUUGGGUUAAGUCCCGCAACGAGCGCAACCCUUUUCCUUAUUUGCCAGCGGGUUAAGCCGGGAACUUUAAGGAUACUGCCAGUGACAAACUGGAGGAAGGCGGGGACGACGUCAAGUCAUCAUGGCCCUUACGACCAGGGCUACACACGUGCUACAAUGGUAGGUACAGAGGGUUGCUACACAGCGAUGUGAUGCUAAUCUCAAAAAGCCUAUCGUAGUCCGGAUUGGAGUCUGCAACUCGACUCCAUGAAGUCGGAAUCGCUAGUAAUCGCAGAUCAGAAUGCUGCGGUGAAUACGUUCCCGGGCCUUGUACACACCGCCCGUCACACCAUGGGAGUCUAUUGCACCAGAAGUAGGUAGCCUAACGAAAGAGGGCGCUUACCACGGUGUGGUCGAUGACUGGGGUGAAGUCGUAACAAGGUAGCCGUAGGGGAACCUGCGGCUGGAUCACCUCCUUA